UUCCACUCGUUGGGCAGAUGAUGCAUCAGC
rnacentral:piRNA from 1 species